GACGAACGCUGGCGGCGUGCUUAACACAUGCAAGUCGAACGGAAAGGCCCUGCUUUUGUGGGGUGCUCGAGUGGCGAACGGGUGAGUAACACGUGAGUAACCUGCCCUUGACUUUGGGAUAACUUCAGGAAACUGGGGCUAAUACCGGAUAGGAGCUCCUGCUGCAUGGUGGGGGUUGGAAAGUUUCGGCGGUUGGGGAUGGACUCGCGGCUUAUCAGCUUGUUGGUGGGGUAGUGGCUUACCAAGGCUUUGACGGGUAGCCGGCCUGAGAGGGUGACCGGCCACAUUGGGACUGAGAUACGGCACAGACUCCUACGGGAGGCAGCAGUAGGGAAUAUUGCACAAUGGGCGGAAGCCUGAUGCAGCAACGCCGCGUGCGGGAUGACGGCCUUCGGGUUGUAAACCGCUUUCGCCUGUGACGAAGCGUGAGGGACGGGAAUGGGGAAAGAAGCACCGGCGAACUACGG
rnacentral:rRNA from 1 species